CUCUACUCAACAUGGAGGCAUAUUUCCUGCAGCCACGUGGGCAGGGUUGGAGUGUCUGUGUCCUUCCUGUGAUCUCCUUGAUCUUCCUGGACUGCCCUUCCAGCUGUGACUCACCCAUUUACGCAAAGCUGCUAGACUCACCUGCGAGAAGACAUCUCAGAGAAAAUCAAAUGCUCCAUGAAAGAAAUUAAAUCAGAAAAUCAGCACUUUAAAAAUUCCAUUGGAUUUAUGGAUCUAACCAAUCAUCACUAGUGACUACCAACAAAGCAGAAAAGACACCAUCUUAUGGCAAUGAAAAUAUUAUGUGAAGUGAAUACUUAUAAAAAUUUCAAAAUUGAAAUUACCUGAGGAAGGUGUCAGUGAGUUCAUAUCAAGACAUCUUGGGGGGCUGUUUUCAAGUUAUGCAUGUGCAGAUCCUGUAAGUCAUUGUUCCAUUGUGGCAAUGGGAGAGGGACAGCGAUGUUGCAUUCUGAGUACCCACUAUGUAUCUGCAGCAAAUUUCUAAGAGUGAGAUCACCCUUCUAAUGGCAGUUCUGGGCUCUGUUUCUUGGAAUAAAAGAUUCUGUGCUUAAAUAAAUAAAAAUGACUUGCUCCUUCUCCUCCUUGUGGCUUAUUAAAGGAUCAGAGAAAUCUGACAGGGAAGUAUUUAAAACGCAUAACCUGUUAUCUUCUGAUCGUAUUUAUCUUUGCAGUGUUCUCCUUUCUUGCAACUCUCAUCCAUAUCUUUGAUCAGUACAUUGGGGGAAA